AAACCAACAGGGAUUGCCUCAGUAACGGCGAGUGAAGCGGCAAGAGCUCAAAUUUGAAAUCGGUAUUUUAUAUCGAGUUGUAGUUUGAAGGGAGGUCUCUGUGGAAGAGUGAUCGGCGAUGUUCCUUGGAAGAGGACGUGACACAAGGUGAUAAUCCUGUAGCUGUGAUCUCGGACAUAUAUAGAGACCGCCCGAAGAGUCGAGUUGUUUGGGAAUGCAGCUCUAAGUGGGUGGUAAACUCCAUCUAAAGCUAAAUACUAGCGAGAGACCGAUAGCGAACAAGUACAGUGAUGGAAAGAUGAAAAGAACUUUGAAAAGAGAGUGAAAGAGUGCGUGAAAUUGUUGAAAGGGAAGGAUAUUAGGUGAGGCGGGGACUUGGGUUCUGUGGAUUCUCUUGUAGAGUCUAUAAUGCCCUUGUCCAGGCCGGUGUGGGUGGGGAGCGGGUGAUGAAAGCUUCUCUUGGGACGUAGUCUCAGGAGUUGUUAAUAACCCUCCCUCCACCAUGGACAGACGACACCGACACAAUGACCUAACAUCGC
rnacentral:rRNA from 1 species